CUCCUCCCUAUAGCCAAAAGGUAGAAACAACCCAGAUGUCCAUCAACAGAUGAAUGGAUAAACAAAAUGUGGUUUAUCCACCCAAUGGAAUAUUAUUCUGCCAUAAAAAACAAUGAAGCACUGAUAUAUGCUACAACGUGGCUGAACCUUGAAAACAUUACUCUAAACAAAAGAGGGCUGGAUGUGGUGGUUCACGCCUGUCAUCUCAGAGCUUUGGGAAGCCGAGGUAGGAGGGUUGCUUGAGCUCAGGAGUUCAUGAUCAGCCUGAGCCACAUAGCAAGAUCCUCAUCUCUAACAACAACAACAACAAAAUUAAAUUAAAUUAGCUGGAUGUGGUGGCACACACCUGUAGUCCUAGCUACUCAGAAGGGUGAGAUGGGAGGCUCACUUGAGCCCAGGAAUUCAAGGUUAAUAGUGUACUAUGAUUGAGCCACUGCACUCCAGCCUGGGCAACAAAGCAAGACCCUGUCUCUAAAAUGAAAGAAAAAAGAAAGGAAGGAAAGAAGGAGGAAGGAAGGAGAGAAGGAAGGAAGACACCACAAGUCACAUUUUGUAUGAUUCCACUUGUAUGAAAUAUCCAGAGUAGCCAAACUCACAGAGACCGAAUGCAGAUUAGUGAUUGCCAGGGACUGGGGAAACUAGGAAGUGGGGAAUUGUUGCUUAAUGAAUAUGCAGUUUUUGCUUGGUGUGAUUAAAAAGUUCUGGAACUAGAUAAUGGUUAUGGUUGCAACACACUGUAGAUGUACUUAAUGCCAUUGAAUUGUACAUUUAAAUGGGUAACUUUUUUAUUGUUGUUUGAGACGCAGUCUCGUUCUGUCACCCAGGCUGGAGUGCAGUGGUGCGAUCUUGGCUCACUGCAACCUCCGCCUCCCGCGUUUAAGUGAUUCUCCUGCCUCAGCCUCCUGAGUAGCUGGAAUUACAGGCACUUGCCACCAUGCCCAGCUAAUUUUUAUAUUUUUGUAGAGAUGGGGUUUCACCAUGUUGGCCAGCCUGGUCUCAAACUCCUUGACCUCAGGUGAUCUGCCCGCCUCGGCGUCCCAAAGUGCUGAGAUUAUAGGCGUGAGCCACUGUGCCCAGCCUAAAAUGGUUAACUUUUUGUAUUUUACCAUCAAUUUAAUAAAGGAAAAAUAAGAGCAUAAGAUAUCAGAAAAUCAGUGGGCGACAGCUUCAGUGACCUAGUGUCACACAAACGUGGACUAAGACUUUCUCUCACCCAUAACACUGCAUAAGAACUAUAAGGUAUGCAACUUCUCAGCCAGGCGCAGUGGCUCACGCCUGUAAUCCCAGUACCUUGGGAGGCCGAGGCGGGUGGAUCAUGAGGUUAGCAGUUCGAGACCAGCCUGGCCAACAUGGAGAAGCCCCAUCUCUACUAAAAAUACAAAAAUUAGCCAGGCAUGGCGGUGGGUGCUUUUAGUCCCAGCUACUCCAGAGGCUGAGGCAGGAGAAUCACUUGAACGUGGGAGGCGGAGGUUGCAGUGAGCAGAGACUGCGCCAUUGCACUCCAGCCUGGGCGACAGAGCGAGACUCCGUUUCAAAAAAAAAAAAAAGAUAUGCAACUUCUCCACUCCAAAUUCUGCUCGCUCUCUCUCUUUAAGGUCAUGAAAUCUCCCUUUCCUCUCUCAUCGUGGGAAGCAAGGCAUAGUACUUGGUUAGUUUUCCAACAUAGGUCAAAUGGAUCCGUGAGUGAUACUAAACGACGUAUAAUCAAGUAUUAUAUCCAAUGGAUUCUGUGCUAGAAGAAGUCAGAACAACAGACUCUGUUUCCACUCUCGUCUCUGCGGUUACCUUGGCCAGAUGGAUGGGAGGUGCUUCUCCAUCCAUUGGAUGGGCUCAGCACUCUUGGGGAUGUAGAAGACCGUGAUAGAAAUAAUAGUCCAAAUAUGUAUUGGAUAUGACAUUUCAUUAGAUCAGGUAUGCAAAGUGCAUGUCAGGUUCUUGCUGAGAGCUGGCCUUCUCUCUUUUUUUUAAUUUAUUUUAUUUUAUUUAUUUAUUUAUUUUGAGAUGGAGUCUCUCUCUAUCACCCAGGCUGGAGUGCAGUGGCGUGAUCUGAGCUCACUGCAACCUCCGCCUCCCAGGUUCAAGCAAUUCUCCUGUCUCAGCCUCCUGAGUAGCUGGGAUUUCAGGUGCACGCCGCCGUGCCUGGCUAAUUUUUCUUUUUAAUUGUAUUUUAGUAGACAUGGGGUUUCACCAUGUUGCCCAGGCUGGUCUCAAACUCUUGAGCUCAGGCAGUCCACCUGCCUCAGCCUCCCAAAGUGCUAGGAUUACAGGUGUGAGCCACUGCGCCCGGCCUGGUCUUCUCUUCUAAUGCUUGCAGCAGCCUUCCUCAAAAUUGUUACUAUGAGGGUCACUGUCUUUAUGGUACCCAUUUUGCAGACGAGGAAAGUGCGACUUAGAGCAUUUCAGUUAAUUCCUUAAAGUCACCCAACAGCCCAGGCUGUCGAAUUCCAGCAAAAGUCUCUUUCUGCCUCUGCCCUGCCACGCUACUGGCACAGAAGAG
rnacentral:lncRNA from 10 species